rnacentral:rRNA from 1 species
UACAGAGGUCCCAAGCGUUGUUCGGAUUCACUGGGCGUAAAGGGUGCGUAGGCGGUCGGGUAAGUCUGACGUGAAAUCCCUCGGCUUAACCGGGGAACUGCGUCUGAUACUGGAUGGCUAGAAGUUGGGAGAGGGAUGCGGAAUUCCAGGUGUAGCGGUGAAAUGCGUAGAUAUCUGGAGGAACACCGGUGGCGAAGGCGGCAUUCUGGACCACAACUGACACUGAGAGACGAAAGCCAGGGGAGCAAACGGG